UUACUGCAUCAAGAGUAGAGUUUAGUCUCUCUCCAACCUGCCCACUCCGGUAAGGUGGAAAAAGUGAUGCGGCAUUCUGCAAUACAAGGAGGAAGA
rnacentral:ncRNA from 1 species